GGGCUUGUGGCCUAGUUGGUUAAGGCGUGGCUCUUAUGUAGCUGAAAUCGGGAGUUCGAGCCUCCCCUGGCCCA
rnacentral:tRNA from 2 species